ACGGAAGGCAGCAGCUAAGAAUAUUCCGCAAUGGACGAAAGUCUGACGGAGCGACGCCGCGUGGAUGAUGAAGGUCGGAAGAUUGUAAAAUCCUUUUAGCAUCAAGAAUAAGCGGAACAGGUAAUGGUUCUGUGGUGACGGUAGUGUUUGAAUAAGCAACGGCUAAUUACGUGCCAGCAGCCGCGGUAAUACGUAAGUUGCGAGCGUUGUUCGGAAUUAUUGGGCGUAAAGGGCAUGUAGGCGGAUAUGCAAGCUUGGUGUGAAAGGCGGGAGCUCAACUCCCGAACUGCGUUGAGAACUGCAUAACUAGAGUGACUGAGGGGCAGGCAGAAUUCCAGGUGUAGGGGUGAAAUCUGUAGAUAUCUGGAAGAAUACCAAUGGCGAAGGCAGCCUGCCAGCAGAUGACUGACGCUGAGGUGCGAAGGUGCGGGGAGCAAGCAGGAUUAGAUACCCUGGUA
rnacentral:rRNA from 1 species